rnacentral:rRNA from 1 species
GACGAACGCUGGCGGCGUGCCUAACACAUGCAAGUCGAACGAGAAAGGGGCUUCGUCUUCGAGUAAAGUGGCGCACCGGUGAGUAACACGUCGGUAACCUGCCUCUCAUAUUGGGAUAACACGUCGAAAGAUGAGCUAAUACCGAACAAGACCACAGUUUCCGCGGUAACAGGGGUCAAAGGUAGCCUCUGCUUGCAAACUAUCACUUAGAGAUGCGCCUGCGGAGCAUUAGCUAGUUGGUAGGGUAACGGCGUACCAAGGCAAAGAUGGGUAGCUGGACUGAGAGGAUGAUCAGCCACACUGGGACUGAGACACGGCCCAGACUCCUACGGGAGGCAGCAGUAGGGAAUAUUGGGCAAUGGGCGAAAGUUUGACCGAGCAACGCCGCGUGAGUGAUGAAGGUCUUCGGGUCGUAAAGCUCUGUCGGGAGGGAAGAACGCUGCUGAGGUUGGCAGGCUCGGGAAGUGACGGUAACUUCCAAGGAAGCAACGGCUAACUCCGUG